GAACAUGGAGAAGUCAAUAGCUAAGACAGGGAUAGGAGCAGUCACAGAUUUGGUUUCAAAAUAUAGCCAAGAGCAACCUAUUCUAAAAUAUAUCACUUACUGAAACAGUGCACUGGGGAACAUUAGAAUGAAAUAUGUUAUCUGAGGAUGCUGGAAAAAAGGUUCUUCAACUUCUUGAGAGCAUCUGUCACAUCCCACAUGGGGAAUGAAAUUUGCAAAUCCCUUCAGAUUAAAGUGAAAUGCUACGCAAAGUCAUUUCCUCCUUUUCAAGAAGAGAACAUCAACUUCAAUAGGAUAUUUCUUCAAAACUGUUAUCCUAUAUGCUUUGGUCCUCUCACAAUUAUAUCUACAUAAGCUGUGCAAUUUUAUAAGGAAUUCAGGAGAGAAGAGAAGAGAAGAGAAGAGAAGAGAAGAGAAGAGAAGAGAAGAGAAGAGAAGAGAAGAGAAGAGAAGAGAAGAGAAGAGAAGAGAAGAGAAGAGAAGAGAAGAGAAGAGAAGAGAAGAAUAAAUUCUGUUGACAGUAAAAGAAUAUACAACCUGAAACCUUACAAGAUAAGAAGAGUUACAAUGUAGAAAAUGUUGAGAUAGUAAGAAUGACUCAAUGGUCCAUGAAGAAGUAAAGAUAAUAUUGAUCUUCAGAAAAAGUUAGAUACCCCUUUAAUCCCUCACACACAGAAGAUGAGAAGUCAGCACAACUGAAUUUCAGCCAUUUGGAGCAAUGGAGGCUGAUGGUGAGCAUGUGAACAGAUAAGCCUGUAGCAUGCUAAACCUGCUAUCUAUCAUGUAUUAGCUAAUGAAAAGCUAGUGUGUACUGUUAUACAUAUACUGGUGACAAAAUGUCUUUUCACAAAGUAAUAAUAAAAUAUCCAAACAAAUACGUUUAUGAUGGAGGUUUACACUGUGUUCCUAUAUAAGACAUGUAAAUUCAAUAAAACAGUUGAACAUGUCCCUCUUAUCAAUAAUGUGAAACAUGAGCCAGGGUAAUGGCCCAUAGCUCUUUUCCCAUCUCCUUUCUUAACAGGCCAUAUAGACAUAGGUUACGUUAUAGCCCAGACUAUGAAGGCUUACAAGAGAGCUAGAAGUAACCUGAGAUCCUUCCAUUUCUUUGUGGUAUUGUAGUGACCUAGUGAUCUUCCACCUUGGGAAGUCUUUGUGAUUUUUGAUCUGACCAUGGAGCUUUUCAGUGAAAAUAGAAAACUAUGCUUUUGUAUCUUGUAAUUUAUAUCUUCACAGAGGAGGAAUUUCAUCAGUUGACACUGUUAUUCUUAUAGGCUAUUCCCCAGGAGACAGAUAUAAAUCUUCAUGAAGUUUGAAGAGUAGCUUGUAUAUUCUUUGGUUUUCGUUUCAGAGGGUGAUUUAUAAAGAGUAUGCUUAUGAUUGACUAAAUUUUGUUUGUCCUGGUUUAAGUAGGGAAUGAUGAACAACUACUGUACUGAUAAACAUGAAUAAAGGUAAUUUUUGUUCAA